rnacentral:rRNA from 1 species
AAGAAGAUACUAAGGGCGCACGGCGGAUGCCUUGGCACAGGAAGUCGAAGAAGGACGCGGCAAGCUGCGAUAAGCUCCGGGGAGGCGCAAACGGCCUUCGAUCCGGAGAUCUCCGAAUGGGGGAACCCAGCAGGGGUCAUGCCCUGCUACCCGCGCCUGAAUGAAAUAGGGCGCGAGGAGGCAACCCGGGGAACUGAAACAUCUAAGUACCCGGAGGAAGAGAAAUCAACCGAGAUUGCGGGAGUAGCGGCGAGCGAAACCGCACCAGCCCAAACCCAUGCACGUGCAAGCUUGAGGGCGUUGCUGCAUGAGGGGUUGUGGGACCGCGCAUUCCAUGGGCCUCAGACCAUGGACGCAGUUACAAAUCCGCGCGGAAGCGGAACGGCCUGGGAAGGCCGGCGGAACAGGGUGAGAGCCCCGUACGCGAAUCCGCGCGGACUGCGAGUGCGGCGCCCGAGUAGCGCCGGGCACGUGAAACCCGGUGCGAACCUGGGGGGACCACCCUCCAAGGCUGAACACUCUCCUGUGACCGAUAGCGAACCAGUACCGUGAGGGAAAGGUGAAAAGCACCCCGAGAGGGGAGUGAAACAGUACCUGAAACCGUGCGCCUACAAGCAGUCGGAGCCCCCGAGCGGGGUGACGGCGUGCCUUUUGUAGAAUGAGCCAGCGAGUUGCGGUAUGCGGCGAGGUUAAGGUUUGAACCGAGCCGCAGUGAAAGCGAGCCUUUAAGAUGGCGAUAGAGUCGCAUGCUGCAGACGCGAAGCCGGGUGAGCUAUCCAUGGGCAGGCUGAAGCGGGGGUAAGACCCCGUGGAGGGCCGAACCCACUUCGGUUGAAAACGGAGGGGAUGACCCGUGGAUAGGGGUGAAAGGCCAAUCAAACCCGGAGAUAUCUCGUUCUCCCCGAAAUAGCUUUAGGGCUAGCCUCGGCCGUUCUCCGACGGCGGUAGAGCACUGGAUCGUCGAGGGGGCUUCACCGCCUACCGACACGAACCAAACUCCGAAUGCCGCCGGAUCAGAGGCCGGGAGUCAGAACAUGUGGGCUAAGCUGUGUGUUCGAGAGGGAAACAGCCCAGACCGCCCGCUAAGGUCCCCAAAUCCAUGCUGAGUGGCAAAGGAUGUGCGUUUGCCUAGACAACCAGGAUGUUGGCUUAGAAGCAGCCAUGCAUUUAAAGAGUGCGUAACAGCUCACUGGUCAAGUGGACAUGCGCCGACAAUUCACGGGGCUAAGCAUGGUACCGAAGCGGCGGACUAAUCUAUAUUAGUGGUAGGGGAGCUUUCCCCGCAGCGGAGAAGCCGAGAGGGCGACCCUCGGUGGAGCGCGGGGAAGUGAGAAUGCUGGCAUGAGUAACGAGAGCGGCGCGAGAAACGCCGCCGCCGUAAGCCUAAGGGUUCCUGGGCAAGGCUAAUCCUCCCAGGGUCAGUCGGGAGCUAAGGCGAGGCCGAGAGGCGUAGCCGAUGCGCAACAGGCGGACAUUCCUGUACCGCCUGCGGACCGCUAUCACCGACGGGGUGACGGAGAAGGGUAGCCGAGCGGGGUUCUGGACGUCCCCGUGAAAGCGCGUAGGGAGCAUCGCAUGGAAAUCAGCGGCGCAUAUAUCCUGAGACGCGAGACGAAAGCUUAUGCUGAAGUCGGCGAGCCCAUGCUUCCGAGAAAAACCUCUAGGAAGGGACGCAGGCGCCCGUACCAAAACCGACACAGGUGGGCAGGUAGAGCAUACCGAGGCGAUCGGGAGAACCAUGGUUAAGGAACUCGGCAUACUGACUCCGUAACUUCGGGAGAAGGAGUGCCCCUGGCGGUG